rnacentral:rRNA from 1 species
GAUGAACGCUGGCGGCGUGCCUAAUACAUGCAAGUCGAGCGAAUGGAUUAAGAGCUUGCUCUUAUAAAGUUAGCGGCGGACGGGUGAGUAACACGUGGGUAACCUGCCCAUAAGACUGGGAUAACUCCGGGAAACCGGGGCUAAUACCGGAUAACAUUUUGAACCGCAUGGUUCGAAAUUGAAAGGCGGCUUCGGCUGUCACUUAUGGAUGGACCCGCGUCGCAUUAGCUAGUUGGUGAGGUAACGGCUCACCAAGGCAACGAUGCGUAGCCGACCUGAGGGGGUGAUCGGCCACACUGGGACUGAGACACGGCCCAGACUCCUACGGGAGGCAGCAGUAGGGAAUCUUCCGCAAUGGACGAAAGUCUGACGGAGCAACGCCGCGUGAGUGAUGAAGGCUUUCGGGUCGUAAAACUCUGUUGUUAGGGAAGAACAAGUGCUAGUUGAAUAAGCUGGCACCUUGACGGUACCUAACCAGAAAGCCACGGCUAACUGCGUGCCAGCAGCCGCGGUAA